rnacentral:rRNA from 1 species
UAAUACGUAGGUCGCAAGCGUUGUCCGGAUUUACUGGGCGUAAAGAGCGCGCAGGCGGCUGGUCAAGUCCGAUGUGAAAUCUCCCGGCUUAACUGGGAAACUGCAUCGGAAACUGAUCGGCUUGAAGGUGGGAGAGGGUAGUGGAAUUCCCGGUGUAGUGGUGAAAUGCGUAGAUAUCGGGAGGAACACCAGUGGCGAAGGCGACUACCUGGCCUGUUCUUGACGCUGAGGCGCGAAAGCUAGGGGAGCAAACGGGAUUAGAUACCCCGGUAGUCCUAGCCGUAAACGAUGGACACUAGGUGUUGGUGGUAUCAACCCCGCCAGUGCCGAAGCUAACGCAUUAAGUGUCCCGCCUGGGGAGUACGGCCGCAAGGCUA